UACGUAGGGGGCUAGCGUUGUCCGGAAUCAUUGGGCGUAAAGAGCGUGUAGGCGGUCCGGUAAGUCCGCUGUGAAAGUCGGGGGCUCAACCCUCGAAUGCCGGUGGAUACUGCCGGGCUAGAGUGCGGAAGAGGCGAGUGGAAUUCCUGGUGUAGCGGUGAAAUGCGCAGAUAUCAGGAGGAACACCUAUUGCGAAGGCAGCUCGCUGGGACGUAACUGACGCUGAGACGCGAAAGCGUGGGGAGCAAACAGG
rnacentral:rRNA from 1 species